UACGAAGGGGGCUAGCGUUGCUCGGAAUGACUGGGCGUAAAGGGCGCGUAGGCGGAUGGCACAGUCAGAUGUGAAAUUCCCGGGCUUAACCUGGGGGCUGCAUUUGAUACGUGUGAUCUAGAGUGAGGAAGAGGGUCGUGGAAUUCCCAGUGUAGAGGUGAAAUUCGUAGAUAUUGGAAAGAACACCGGUGGCGAAGGCGGCGACCUGGUUCAUUACUGACGCUGAGGCGCGAAAGCGUGGGGAGCAAACAGG
rnacentral:rRNA from 1 species